UCUCUCAAGCUGGGUGGCAGACUGAGAGACUGUGUGCCAAAGGGUCUCCCUGAAAAAAACAAUUUAGGAGCUGCCAAGGAUUUGGAUCAUCUUUUAAAGGUUGAGUGAGUGUUCCCCUUCAGUCUGGUCAAGUCUUGAAUGGGUAUGAACCUCUUCCCUUCCUGGAUCUUGUGAAGACCCUACAUCUUGAUCCUGCUGUUUUGACCCAACCAAGGACUCUGGAGUUUAUAAUGGACAUGUCUGGAUACCCAGCAAACUCAUUAAACUGUGUUGAGGAAGACCAGAUUCACAGAUAAAUGCAACAGAUGACACUUGAGAACAACAGAGUGUGAAGAUUUCCAGUGACUAUCUUGAAGUCCUUGAGAGACAAGUCUGCAAGACUGAUGACUUGGGCACAAGUCAAAUGAACAAUCCAGUUGACUGAACAAUCCCUUGAGAUGGCACAAUUCUCUUAAGACUCCUGCUUAUUUACUUAAUGCCACAUUUACUAUUAUCACCUUCGCAGUGGAUACUAAUGCUGAAAUAUAUUGUUUAAUUUUACCAAAA